rnacentral:rRNA from 1 species
AGUGAACGCUGGCGGUAGGCCUAACACAUGCAAGUCGAACGGCAGCACAGUAAGAGCUUGCUCUUACGGGUGGCGAGUGGCGGACGGGUGAGGAAUACAUCGGAAUCUACUUUUUCGUGGGGGAUAACGUAGGGAAACUUACGCUAAUACCGCAUACGACGUACGGGUGAAAGCAGGGGUUCUUCGGACCUUUCGCGAUUGAAUGAGCCGAUGUCGGAUUAGCUAGUUGGCGGGGUAAAGGCCCACCAAGGCGACGAUCCGUAGCUGGUCUGAGAGGAUGGUCAGCCACACUGGAACUGAGACACGGUCCAGACUCCUACGGGAGGCAGCAGUGGGGAAUAUUGGACAAUGGGCGCAAGCCUGAUCCAGCCAUACCGCGUGAGUGAAGAAGGCCUUCGGGUUGUAAAGCCCUUUUGUUGGGAAAGAAAAGCAGCAGGUUAAUACCCCGCUGUUCUGACGGUACCCAAAGAAUAAGCACCGGCUAACUUCGUG